rnacentral:rRNA from 1 species
AUUGAACGCUAGCGGGAUGCCUUACACAUGCAAGUCGAACGGAGUGGCGAACGGGUGAGUAAUGUCUCGGAACGUGCCCAGUAGCGGGGGAUAACUACGCGAAAGCGUAGCUAAUACCGCAUACUACUGGAGCGGCCGAUAUCGGAUUAGCGAGUUGGUGGGGUAACGGCCACCCAAGUCGACGAUCCGUAGCCGGUUUGAGAGGACGACCAUCCACACUGGGACUUAGACACGGCCCGGCCGCCUACGGGCGGCAGCAGGUGGGAAUUUUCGACAAUGGGGGACACUCUAGUCGAGCCGUCCCGCGACUGCGUUGAAGGCCUGCGGGUUGUCAAGCACUUUUGGCAGGAAAGCGGUACCGGCAGAAUAAGUACCGACUGACUAAGUGCCAGCAGCCGCGGUAAUUC